AAUUCCAGCUCCAAUAGCGUAUAUUAAAGUUGUUGCAGUUAAAAAGCUCGUAGUUGAACCUUGGGCUUGGCUGGCCGGUCCGCCUUUUUGGCGAGUACUGGAUCCAACCGAGCCUUUCCUUCUGGCUAACCAUUUGCCCCUGUGGUGGAUGGCGAACCAGGAUUUUUACUUUGAGAAAAUUAGAGUGUUCAAAGCAGGCCUUUGCUCGAAUAUAUUAGCAUGGAAUAAUAGAAUAGGACGUUAUGGUUCUAUUUUGUUGGUUUCUAGGACCAUCGUAAUGAUUAAUAGGAACGGUCGGGGGCAUCAGUAUUCAGUGUCA
rnacentral:rRNA from 1 species